rnacentral:lncRNA from 1 species
CCUAUAAAUAGAGGCAUUAUAUUGAACAAAUGCAUUGCACUCAUCUCAAGCUUUUCUCUCUCUCUCUCUCUUUGCACUACAUUCUUGAAUUCACAACCUACAAACAAUCCAAGAAGAUGUCUUGCUGCGGAGGAAGCUGCAACUGUGGCUCUAGCUGCAAGUGCGGCAGCGGCUGCGGGUACUGAACAUUUGCUGCUUCUUUUCUUUGAUGCAGAAACAUGUACCCUGACCUGGCAGAGAAGACCACAAACACUUCAGCAACUAUGGUCCUCGGGGUCGCACCUGCGAAGGAGCAAUUUGAGGGGGUUGGCAAGGCAGCAGAGUCUGGUGAGGCUGCCCAUGGCUGCAGCUGUGGCUCCAGCUGCAAAUGCAAUCCCUGCAACUGCUAAAGGAGAUGGUGAUCUGCAUCAGCAUGCUGAUGAUAUGUACAAGUAAAUAAAGAAGCCAUUUGAUGCAAUGGCUCCUGUGUGUGUGUGCGCGCGACAGUGUGAGUCAGCUUGUGUUCUUCAUCCUGAUGUACUAAUGUGGCCUGUGAAUAUUGUGAGGUGUCUCCUGCUUUACUCUCUUGUCAGAAUGUAAUUAGAGGCUAUAUAUCAUGGCCUUGUGAUUGGAGCACCUGAAGUUUUUACAGACAACAUUAUGUUUGUGUAAUAUAAUAUGGUUUACUUGUGCAUGUAUAUGGCAUGUUCUUUCAGUUCCA